AAACGUAAACAUAUAUAAUCGA
rnacentral:miRNA from 1 species